CAGCCGCGGGAACACGUAGGGUGCGAGCGUUAAUCGGAAUUACUGGGCGUAAAGCGUGCGCAGGCGGUUAUAUAAGACAGAUGUGAAAUCCCCGGGCUCAACCUGGGACCUGCAUUUGUGACUGUAUAGCUAGAGUACGGUAGAGGGGGAUGGAAUUCCGCGUGUAGCAGUGAAAUGCGUAGAUAUGCGGAGGAACACCGAUGGCGAAGGCAAUCCCCUGGACCUGUACUGACGCUCAUGCACGAAAGCGUGGGGAGCAAACAGGAUUAGAUACCCCUGUAGUCCCUGUCUCUUAUACACA
rnacentral:rRNA from 1 species